GAAAAGUGCAACCUGUGUUCGUAUCGAUCACGCUGCCCUCCUGGAACUAAAGAAUUUGUAGGAGAGAAGAAAUAUUGCAUCUAUACUGAAAACUUUAUGGGAAGGACAUCCAUUCAUAUUGGAUGCCUGCCAAAGUGCAUUAAAAAUAUCAUUACCAGAGAAUGCUGUGCAGGUUUCUUUGGUCAACAAUGCCAGCCCUGUCCGGGGAAAAGUGGAAAUGCCUGCUUUGGAAAUGGCAUCUGCUUGGAUGGUGUUAAUGGCACAGGCGUGUGUGAGUGUGAAGAGGGGUUUAAUGGAACGGCCUGUGAGAAAUGUAUUGAAGGCAAAUAUAGUCGCAACUGCA